GCCUGGGUGGCUCAGUCGGUUUCAGCGUCUGACUUCAGCUCAGGUCAUGAUCUCCCGGCUCGUGAGUUCGAGCCCCGCGUCAGGCU
rnacentral:tRNA from 1 species